GAUGAAGAACGUAGCGAAAUGCGAUAAGUAAUGUGAAUUGCAGAAUUCAGUGAAUCAUCGAAUCUUUCAACGCACAUUGCGCCCGCUAGUAUUCUGGCGGGCAUGCCUGUCCGAGCGUCAUUUCAACCCUCAAGCCCCCGGGCUUGGUGUUGGGGAUCGGCGAGCCUCCGCGCCCGCCGUCCCCUAAAUCUAGUGGCGGUCUCGCUGUAGCUUCCUCUGCGUAGUAGCACACCUCGCACUGGGAAACAGCGCGGCCACGCCGUUAAACCCCCAACUUCUGAACGUUUGACCUCGGAUCAGGUAGGAAUACCCGCUGAACUUAAGCAUAUCAAUAAGCGGAGGA
rnacentral:misc_RNA from 1 species